GUGCCAGCAGCCGCGGUAAUACGGAGGAUCCAAGCGUUAUCCGGGAUCAUUGGGUUUAAAGGGUCCGUAGGUGGAUAAUUAAGUCAGAGGUGAAAUCUUGCAGCUCAACUGUAAAAUUGCCUUUGAUACUGGUUAUCUUGAGUUAUUAUGAAGUAGUUAGAAUAUGUAGUGUAGCGGUGAAAUGCAUAGAUAUUACAUAGAAUACCAAUUGCGAAGGCAGAUUACUAAUAAUCAACUGACACUGAUGGACGAAAGCGUGGGUAGCGAACAGGAUUAGAUACCCUGGUAGUCCACGCCGUAAACGAUGGUUACUAGCUGUUUGGACUUCGGUCUGAGUGGCUAAGCGAAAGUGAUAAGUAACCCACCUGGGGAGUACGUUCGCAAGAAUGAAACUCAAAGGAAUUGACGGGGGCCCGCACAAGCGGUGGAGCAUGUGGUUUAAUUCGAUGAUACGCGAGGAACCUUACCAGGGCUUAAAUGUAAGUUGCAUUAGUUAGAGAUAGCUAUUUCUUCGGACCACUUACAAGGUGCUGCAUGGUUGUCGUCAGCUCGUGCCGUGAGGUGUCAGGUUAAGUCCUAUAACGAGCGCAACCCCUGUUGUUAGUUGCCAGCGAGUCAUGUCGGGAACUCUAACAAGACUGCCAGUGCAAACUGUGAGGAAGGUGGGGAUGACGUCAAAUCAUCACGGCCCUUACGUCCUGUGCUACACACGUGCUACAAUGGU
rnacentral:rRNA from 1 species